ACCUACUGUUUAAUUUUGAGGGUUCGUUUUUACGAAUACUCAAAAUUAGCACUUUAAGCAACGGAAUUUAUUCGUUGGCGCUGUGCUUUAGCACUUUGAAAACUGCAUAUAUAUUUAGUGAUAUGACAUCUAAUUUGUAAUAUAUAAAGCUGAUAACUUUUUAAAAUUAUCGAAGUUGAUAGCUUCUAAUCUAUCAAACCUUUUUAACUGGUCAA
rnacentral:misc_RNA from 1 species